CCACCUAGCCCCCGACCAAGUUUGGAAGUGGCGUCCGAGAUCCCCAAGGGUCAAGUAAUUGUAAAAGGUCUGGAGUUGAUUCCAGGUGUGGGAUUUGCAUUUGGAAGCUGUCGCUGUGAACCCACAACAUGCGGUCAAAGGAGCUCUCAAUGGAAGUGAAGCAGGAAAUCAUUGGCCUGAAAAAAAAGAAGAAAUCCAUCAGAGAAAUAUCGGAAAUGUUAGGAGUGGCCAAAUCAACAGUUUCGUACAUUCUAGUAAAAAAAGAGCGCACUGGCGAGCUUGAGAACUCAAAAAGGCCUGGACGUCCACGAAAGACCACACUGGUGGAUGAUCACAGAAUCCUUUCCAUGUUGGAGAAAAACCCCUUCACAACAUCCACCCAAGUGAAGUACAAUCUCCAGGAAGUAGGUGCAUCAGUAUCUAAGACUACCAUAAAGAGAAGACUUCGUGAGAGCAAAUACGGCAACUGUUGCUAAAUCUAUUGCCUGGGCCCACAGCAUGACUUAAAAGGACUGGAGUACAUUUUGGAUUUUAGCUGAUUAUCUUUCUGUUGCAGGGUCUAUGGCACCAUACUGCCAGAACAGUGCCUAAACAUUAGAAACUCCUUCAAAAUUAUCUGGAAAAUUUGAGCAGCCACAGAGCCAGGCAAAGUCCCUUGUUAAAGAAGAGGAGCAGGACCUCAUGGAGGGGGAGUCCACUCCUGACCGUUAUCAAAAGAACGCACAGAAAGCAGAGAGGGACAAUGAAGACCUAGCAAGACCAUCUUUGGUGGCCACACCACCCUCGCCAAGAGAGGGGACAUCUUCAGCAGCAGCGCUAAUCACCACUGUAUCACCAGCCACUGCUCCUGCAACAACAGCUGCUGUCAGGGCGGCCACAUAUCCCAAUCGCCCCACCGGCACAUCUGCCACCUGUGGCCAGAAUGAGGAAGCCCGCCAAUUAAUAGACAGGCAACUGCACAGGGAGGCUCUGUCCCUUAUCCGGAGACUGAAUGGAGAUGAUGAGUACGAUUAUUUUGGCUACGAGAUUGCAUCUUCCUGUCGCCAGAUGCGUCCUGAUAGACAAGAAGACUUCAUGUCAUACAUUCAUGCCGUGACUUCAGUCUUUCGCUCCAACCAGCCUCUGCCUGACAUCGAAGAUAUGAUUUGCCAUGUUCAGUGGGUAGCAGGCCUAAGGCCAGCACCCCCUCCUUCCCUGUCUAGGCCAGAGGCCACAUCUUCCACCACCCAAACUGACCCCAUUUAUUUUCUUGCCCCCUAAACACUCCUCCUCCACCCACUGUGUGUUUGCAAUUUUGCAGCUUUUUUUAUUCCAUAUAUGCCUACUUCCUUCACCAGCAGUGAGCCAGUCACAAUAGAAAACCAACCAAUUGGCUCCACCACCACAUCCAAGGAUGUAUCUCCUACUCCUUUUUUUCCACUCAUAUUGUUCUUUAUUUUAUUUUUUACUUUUGGUCCAAAUUAUGUAUGGGUGAUGACGAACUCUUGAAAAUAGUUUGAUAUUUCGUAUAGGUUUCUCAAUAGUUUAGAAAGGCUGGUGGAUAUCUGUGG